GACGAGCGCUGGCGGCGUGCUUAACACAUGCAAGUCGAACGAAGCAUUUGUGAUAGUUUUGGUUGGAAUGAAGGUGCAUAGGAGUGAGAGGCGGGAGUGAGCGUAACUCGUAGGUAAGAUACCUUGUGGUGGGUGAGAGUAGCAGGGAACGGGUGGUCCUACUGCAUGAGGGCGCUAUGUUGCAUGCCGUGGUGGGGAAACGUCCGGCGGUAUAAGGUGGGGGCGCGUCUGAUUAGCUUGUUGGUGAGUUAACAGCCUACCAAGGCGACGAUCAGUAGCCGACCUGAGAGGGUGGCCGGACACAUUGGGACUGAGGCACGGCCCAGACUCCUACGGGAGGCAGCAGUGGGGAAUAUUGCAGAAUGGAGGAAACUCUGAUGCAGCGACGCCGCGUGAGUGAAGAAGUAAUUCGUUAUGUAAAGCUCUAUCAGCAGGGAAGAUAGUGACGGUACCUGACUAAGAAGCUCCGGCUAAAUACGUG
rnacentral:rRNA from 1 species